rnacentral:rRNA from 1 species
CAGCAGCCGCGGUAAUACCGGCGGCCCGAGUGGCGGCCACUAUUAUUGGGCUUAAAGCGUCCGUAGCCGGGUUGGUUAGUCUCCCGGGAAAUCUGGCCGCUUAACGGUCAGAAUUCCGGGAGAUACUGCCAGCCUAGGGACCGGGAGAGGCCGAGGGUAUUCCCGGAGUAGGGGUGAAAUCCUAUAAUCCCGGGAGGACCACCUGUGGCGAAGGCGCUCGGCUGGAACGGGUCCGACGGGGAGGGACGAAGGCCAGGGGAGCAAACCGGAUUAGAUACCCGGGUAGUCCUGGCUGUAAACGAUGCGGACUUUGUGUCGGACAAGCUAUGAGCUUGUCCGGUGCCGGAGGGAAACCGUUAAGUCCGCCGCCUGGGGAGUACGGCCGCAAGGCUGAAACUUAAAGGAAUUGGCGGG